GCCCAAAUGAUUUGUCAUGGCAGUGAGCUUUCAGUGACUCACCUGGUGAGAAUACAAUCUUAUGAUUCUGUCCUAAGGUUUGGGUUCCUGAAAUGUUCUAGUCAGAACAGAACAGAACAGAAGGUGUAGAGGAACAUUCAGGUGGCAAGCAGGCACAUGAAAACAAAACAAAUCAAGGCUCCAAAAGACACAACUGCAAUGAGUCACGUGUGGUUUGGCUGUCAGCUUGGAGCAGAGAUGCAGCAACCUGAAGGCGCUCCCCAAGCAGUACACUCAAAAUUACAGCUCCCUGUAUGAGGGAAAAUGCCCUCAGGUUCUUCUGUUUCUACAAAAUACAGAAACUGUUUUGUUGAGGUGGUGACAGAGGCCUUCAGUACCAAAACCUGAACACGCAGCUAGGUGCACAUUUUGUAUUUAAGAUGCAAACAGGCCA